CAGUGGGAAUAUAUGAAGUGGAUUUACCUCUGCAAAGAGUUUCGUCUCUUUUCCCUCUGAUGAUUGCGCAUAUGCCCACGAGUAAUGAGUUAAUUUGUUAGUGUUAUGAUAUAAUAUAUGGAGACGUAUAGACACACAUAUACUAACAACCAAUAUAUCAUAUAUAGAUAAUUAAUUAGCAUACGUGUUUAAUUUGCUGUUUAUUGCAAAACAUCAACUUGGUUGACAUGUAUUGUCAAUUUCCUCACAUCGGUUUAAUGAUACAUACAGAUUGGCAUACGAUGAUAAAAGCAUAACAAAAGUGGACGAAUCGAAGAUAAACACGGAAAUAAACAUUUUAUGCCAACCGAGGAUGAUGAAAAUAAAACCUUAAUUUGAUUGACUUGCAUAUAUAUAUAUAUAUAUAUAUAUAUAUAUAUAUAUAUAUAUAUAUAUAUAUAUAUAUAUGUUUACCUCUGUACAAUGCCUUAGCGUAUACAUGGGAACGCCUCUUUUUUAAUUUUCUCCACCCCUUCUAUCUCACAAAGAGAAAAUGUGAAGUGGGCAAAUUCCAUAAAACCAGAAAAGAAAUAUUAAAACAUAAUAUUAUAAAAAUAUAAUAUAAUGAAGCAUAUUAUGGGUUGAUUAUAAUUGUAUAUUCUAAAGAGAUAUUUACGAUGGAUUUAGGAUCAUGAGCUCUGAGGCAGUGACGAGGCAUCUCAUUACUUCAACUUGAGCUCGCAGUGAUUGUACAUAAUCUAGGGUUUCCUCCACCAGAGACACAUCGUCCAUGAAUUCUCCUCCUGGUAAGAGACUCUUCAGCCUCCGCGUUCUCUUCUGGACCAGCUUUCUCGCAAUGAAACUCGCCACCACCCUAUCCUUUGGUAUGUGGACCGCGCGGUUUCUUCUCAAGCUCUUUCUGCAGCUUCUGAUCCUUCUGCUGUGGGAAUAAUUGGUAGAGCUUUUCCUUACCGGUGGUGAUGAGCCUAGCACGUGUUCCGUGAGGACUUUGUUGUUGCUAUUUUUGGAAGCAUUGGCUAUGAGGGCCUUGCUCCAGCGAGUGGUUUUGUUUCUGGUGGAAGCCAUGGCCAAAUCUGCUGACAGCUUUAUGGCUUUCUUUCUCUCCAACAGACUCAUGUUCUUCUUUUGAGAGCGAUAUUUUCUGAGACCCCAUAUCCACUUUUUGAGGAAUUCUUGCUUCACGGUGUUGAUAUUUCGCAUUCUGUUUGGACUUGAUGAAAUUGUUGAAAGAAAUAGUAGAAGAUGAAGAGAAAGAAAUAAGAGUAAGAUUUGAUGAGUGACGUUGCAGUGUUACAGAUGGAAGCAAAGUGGUAUAUGAUGAGGAUCUGAGAGAGAGAGAGAGAAGAGCUGGGAAGAGGAAGAGUGAGAAGAGAAGGAAUUUAUGUGUUCGAAAGAUGAGAAUGGUGGGGCUUAGAGAGAAAGACACAGCACAUGCUGGCACAUGGAGUCCCUGG
rnacentral:sRNA from 1 species